UUGGAGGGCAAGUCUGGUGCCAGCAGCCGCGGUAAUUCCAGCUCCAAUAGCGUAUAUUAAAGUUGUUGCAGUUAAAAAGCUCGUAGUUGAAUUUCGGGAUCAAUAUGCUGGUCGUGCCUUUGGUACGUACUGGUAUUAUUGGUUUCUCCUUUCUGAUGAAUCACGAUGUCAUUAAUUUGGUGUCAUGGGGAAUCAGGACUGUUACUUUGAAAAAAUUAGAGUGUUUGAAGCAGGCUCACGCUUGAAUACAUUAGCAUGGAAUAACGAAAUAGGACGUUUGAUUCUAUUUUGUUGGUUUCUAGGAUCGACGUAAUGAUUAAUAGGGAUAGUUGGGGGCAUUAGUAUUCAAUUGUCAGAGGUGAAAUUCUUGGAUUUAUUGAAGACUAACUACUGCGAAAGCAUUUGCCAAGGAUGUUUUCAUUAAUCAAGAACGAAAGUUAGGGGAUCGAAGACGAUCAGAUACCGUCGUAGUCUUAACCAUAAACUAUGCCGACUAGGGAUCGGAUGAUGUUAAUUUUUUAAUGACUCAUUCGGCGCCUUACGGGAAAC
rnacentral:rRNA from 1 species